AUUGAACGCUGGCGGCAGGCCUAACACAUGCAAGUCGAGCGGAUGAAGGGAGCUUGCUCCUGGAUUCAGCGGCGGACGGGUGAGUAAUGCCUAGGAAUCUGCCUGGUAGUGGGGGAUAACGUCCGGAAACGGGCGCUAAUACCGCAUACGUCCUGAGGGAGAAAGUGGGGGAUCUUCGGACCUCACGCUAUCAGAUGAGCCUAGGUCGGAUUAGCUAGUUGGUGGGGUAAAGGCCUACCAAGGCGACGAUCCGUAACUGGUCUGAGAGGAUGAUCAGUCACACUCGAACUGAGACACGGUCCAGACUCCUACGGGAGGCAGCAGUGGGGAAUAUUGGACAAUGGGCGAAAGCCUGAUCCAGCCAUGCCGCGUGUGUGAAGAAGGUCUUCGGAUUGUAAAGCACUUUAAGUUGGGAGGAAGGGCAGUAAGUUAAUACCUUACUGUUUUGACGUUACCAACAGAAUAAGCACCGGCUAACUUCGUG
rnacentral:rRNA from 1 species